CAGGGGUAAACGCAGGAGAAGGGCCAGUAAGAGACUGAAUUGCAGUGGCCAAGUGGGUACCCCCGAGGAUUCAUCAGCCAGUAGCGGAGCGAAAUCACGUCGGACGGAGGAGAGGGUAGCUGUAGUUGAGAGGAACUCUGCAGAGAAUCAGCCGUCCCAGUCUGUACACGUUGUAUGGGACGACCCCAUCAGAAGGUCGGAGCAAGAGAAGCUAGCCCACCAGCUAGCCCGCGCAAACAGCCCAACACAGGAUGUUCCAGAUGAUUUCCAUGAACAGGCAGCGCAGUUCUCGGAAACAGACGACGAUGAUGAGGAACCCAAACUGCCUGUUUUCCAGGCACAUGUGCAGGCCGAAGAAGCCCAAACUCCUAAGCAGCCCAAAUCCACAACAGGGAAAACACCAACACCGGAUCCGCCCUCAAUUGGUAGGCAUGUAGAAUGAUACAUCCCACAAUAAAGUAGAAAAGGGUUAACAGGAUAACCAGGGAAAGUUUAGAAGGGUAAAUGGAUAACCAUGGAUAGUUUAGAAGGGUAAACAGAUAACAAUCGAUAGAUUGUAAACAGGAUAAUCAUCGAUAGUUAUGGCUUUUGUAAAUGGGAUAACCAUGGAUAGUUUAGAAGUGUUAAACAGGAUAAACAUGGAUAGUUUAGAAGGGUAAACAGGAUAAUCAUGGAUUGUUUAUAAGGGUAAAUGAGAUAACUAUGGAUAGUUAAGAAGGGUAAACAGUAUAAUGAUGGAUAGUUUAGAAUGGUAAACAGGAUAAUUAUGGAUAUUUUAGAAGGGUAAACAGGAUAAUAAUGGAAAAUUUAGAAGGGUAAACAUGAUAAUCCUGGAUAGUUUAGAAGGCUUAACAGGAUAAUCAUGGAUAGUAUAGAAGGGUAAAUGGGAUAACCAUUGAUAGUUUAGAAGGGUAAACAGUAUAAUGAUGGAUAGUUUAGAAGGGUAAACAUGAUAAUAAUGGAUAUUUUAGAAGGGUAAACAGGAUAAUCAUGGAUAGUUUAGAAGGGUAAAUGGUAUAACCAUGGAUAGUUUAGAAGGGUAAAUGGGAUAACCAAGGAUAGUUUAGAAGGCUAAAUGGGAUAAUCAUGGACAGUUUAGACUUUUGUAAAUGGAAUAACCAUUGGCAGUUUAGAAGGGCAAACAGGAUAAUCAUGGAUAGUUUAGAAGGGUUAACAGGAUAAUGAUGGAUGUCCAUCUGUCUGAUGACAAAAACUUGUCAACAUGCAGCGUUGAAAUUGCAGGCUUUGUUACUUUUGAUAUGAAGUAGGGCAUAUGCAAAAUUAUAAUCCUAUAUUAAACAUUACCUUAAGUUAGUCCCCUUUUAUGCCUAGUCCCCUUGUUAUGUCAUUCAAAUUGCUCAAGUGCAUAUAGUGUAACCCAUGCGUGUUUGUUUGUGUGUUUGUUAAGGCCCGGUCACACUGAGGUAACGGACAAGAAACGGGCAUAAAAUCAUUUUAUCCGUUCGUGUCUGUUCUUAUCCGUUUAAUGUCCGUUUCAUGUCCUGCGAAUCCGCUCUUUGUUCGGCAAUGUCCGGUGACAUCAGUUCCAUCCGUUGGGAAUUUUUGAGCAUGUUCAAAAUUUUCCACCGGAUAAAACGGACAGAGAUCUCCGUUUGAUGUGCGGUCUUCAUACGUUAGUUUAGGGUUUGUUCGGAACUCGUGCGUUACACCUCCUGUAUGUAUCUGGUUUAUGUCCGUUAAUGUCUGGUUGUCCUGGUCCUAACGCAUGUUCAACAGGUAAUAACGGACAGCUAACGUAUACAAAAUUGCGAGAAGUGUGGCGGAACAAAACUGUUGACCAACAUUUAACCGUAAUUAACCUGUGGGUUGAAGUAUCAUUUCAUUUUGGUACGCCUUGUGAGAAGGACAUGUGCAAUGGAGUGUCGUGCUCGCAUUCAAUUAGAGUGUCAAGCCGCCCUCCUACAGGCCCAGAUUGGCCUUUUGAAUGCUAAUCUGGCCAUGCAUCGUCUUGCUCAAAAGAGAGCAAUGAGACGGAGGCAGCGCAGAUGGUGGAUCAGGGCUUGGCUGGGUUCCGAGCGGAGGCGUCAGUUCGGUCUGUAUGACCAACUUAUGGUCAAACUACGGUACGACGAGAGGACCAACGUGCAUUCAUCAACUUCAUGUAAAUGCCACCCGAGAUGUUCGAUGAGAUUCUCGCACGAGUGGGCCUAAGGAUAACCAAACAGCGCAACAACUACAGACUUCCAAUUUAACCAGGGAUGAAGCUAACAAUUUCGCUGCGGCAUCUUGUGUCUGGUUCAAAGUCCGUGAUAUGCGUUUCGACUGGAGGGUACCCCACUACACUAUUUCUCUUCUUGUGCCAGAAGUAAGUACCGCUUAAUUUACUAUAGUGCUAAAAUUAAUUUUAAAAGGCUUCUGUUAGUCAUUUUAAUAUAUUUAUAUACUUUAAUGUCUACUUCUAUCAUCAUUUUAUAUUAAUUGCAUUGUGUUAAGUUAUUGGUAUAGGAUAAAAGGCAAAUAGAUUAGUGCGCAUUCUACUCCUAAAUUGUAUAACACCAUUAGUACUGUCUUGUGCGCAUAUUUUGAAAUGCACACGGUUAUAUGCACCGUUUAUCAA